rnacentral:rRNA from 1 species
AUUGAACGCUGGCGGCAGGCCUAACACAUGCAAGUCGAACGAGUGGCGGACGGGUGAGUAAUGUCUGGGAAACUGCCCGAUGGAGGGGGAUAACUACUGGAAACGGUAGCUAAUACCGCAUACCAUCGGAUGUGCCCAGAUGGGAGUAGCUAGUAGGUGGGGUAACGGCUCACCUAGGCGACGAUCCCUAGCUGGUCUGAGAGGAUGCCCAGCCACACUGGAACUGAGACACGGUCCAGACUCCGACGUGAGGCAGCAGUGGGGAAUAUUGCACAAGGGGCGCAAGCCGGAUACAGCCAUGACGCGUGUGUGAAGAAGGCCUUCGGGUUGUAAAGCACUUUCAGCGGGGAGGCGUUACCCGCAGAAGAAGCAACGGCUAACGCCGUGCCAGCAGCCGCGGUAAUAC